AGCUAAGAUGGCAGAGCUUGGUAAUUGCAAAAGGCCUAAGCCCUUUCCAACAGAGGUUCAAAUCCUCUUCUUAGCU
rnacentral:tRNA from 1 species